CUGGACUUUGUUCUCCCUGCUCUGGCUGGAUUUUAUUAGGCCCCUGGGUGUAUUGCCGUCUAAAAACUCUAUUUGUGCCUAUUGUAUUUUGGAGCACUGUUUCUGCCCCUUUGAAUUGUACUUGUACAUUUCUGCACUUUUGAAGGGGCACUUCGGAUGCAGCCGAAGUGCCGAAGUAGUCUAAGAGGCCGCCAUUCAAAAUACGAACAUGUGGCGGCGGCCAUUUUAAUUCAGUCGAAC